GUGCUCGCUUCAGCAGCACAUAUACUAAAUCUGGAACAAUACAGAGAAGAUUAGCAUAGCCCUUGCACAAGGAUGACAUGCAAAGUCUCGAAGUGUUCCAUAUUUAA